GACGAACGCUGGCGGCGUGCUUAACACAUGCAAGUCGAACGGAAAGGCCCUGCUUUUGUGGGGUGCUCGAGUGGCGAACGGGUGAGUAACCCGUGAGUAACCUGCCCUUGACUUUGGGAUAACUUCAGGAAACUGGGGCUAAUACCGGAUAGGUGCUCCUGCUGCAUGGUGGGGGUUGGAAAGUUUCGGCGGUUGGGGAUGGACUCGCGGCUUAUCAGCUUGUUGGUGGGGUAGUGGCUUACCAAGGCUUUGACGGGUAGCCGGCCGGAGAGGGUGACCGGCCACAUGGGGACUGAGAUACGGCCCAGACUCCUACGGGAGGCAGUGGUGGGGAAUAUUGCACAAUGGGCGGAAGCCUGAUGCAGCAACGCCGCGUGCGGGAUGACGGCCUUCGGGUUGUAAACCGCUUUAGCCUGUGACGAAGCGUGAGUGACGGUAAUGGGUAAAGAAGCACCGGCUAACUACGUG
rnacentral:rRNA from 1 species